CCUUCGGGUGUGAAUUAGCGGCGAACGGGUGAGGAACACGUGAGAAAUCUGCCUUCAACACUGGGAUAACUCCGGGAAACCGGGGCUAAUACCGGAUAUGAAAUCUGCGGGCAUCCGCGGAUUUGGAAAGUUUUUCGGUUGAAGAUGAUCUCGCGGCCUAUCAGCUUGUUGGUGAGGUAAUGGCUCACCAAGGCGACGACGGGUAGCCGGCCUGAGAGGGCGACCGGCCACACUGGGACUGAGACACGGCCCAGACUCCUACGGGAGGCAGCAGUGGGGAAUAUUGGGCAAUGGAGGAAACUCUGACCCAGCGACGCCGCGUGCGGGAUGAAGGCCUUCGGGUUGUAAACCGCUUUCAGCAGGGAAGAAGCGAAAGUGACGGUACCUGCAGAAGAAGCACCGGCUAACUAUGUGCCAGCAGCCGCGGUAAUACAUAGGGUGCAAGCGUUGUCCGGAAUUAUAGGGCGUAAAGAGCUCGUAGGUGGUUCGUCACGUCGGAUGUGAAACUCUGGGGCUUAACCCCAGACCUGCAUUCGAUACGGGCGAGCUUGAGUAUGGUAGAGGAGUCUGGAAUUCCUGGUGUAGCGGUGGAAUGCGCAGAUAUCAGGAGGAACACCAAUGGCGAAGGCAGGACUCUGGGCCAUUACUGACACUGAGGAGCGAAAGCGUGGGGAGCGAACAGGAUUAGAUACCCUGGUAGUCCACGCCGUAAACGGUGGGCACUAGUUGUGGGGACCUUCCACGGUCUCUGCGACGCAGCU
rnacentral:rRNA from 1 species